rnacentral:tRNA from 1 species
UGGCUCAGUGGUUAAGAGCACUGGCUGUUCUUCCAGAGGAUCUGGGUUCAAUUCCCAG